rfam:Erinaceus europaeus unplaced genomic scaffold scaffold00104, whole genome shotgun sequence
GGAUGUGAGGGCAAUCUGGCUGAGACAUCUGUCACCUCAGUGAUCACCAGGGUUGAUUCCGCAGAUCUGGUUGGCUAGGCGGGUGUCCCCUUCCUCCCUCACCACUCCAUGUGUGCCCCUCCUGAAGCUGAGAGCUUGGUCUAAGAGGACGGCCUUCCCUGAAUAGAGACUGACCAGUCUUCAGUUGAGUGUAUAAGAGUAGCUGCACUCCCCUGCUAGAACCUCCAAACAAGCUCUCAAGGUCCUAAAUUUGAGCCUUGGCUCCACCAUGUUGAAGCAAAUUCAGUGCUGAGGUUGCUUUCAAUUUCCCUCUGCCUCU